UGGGGAAUUUUGGACAAUGGGCGAAAGCCUGAUCCAGCAAUGCCGCGUGUGUGAAGAAGGCCUUCGGGUUGUAAAGCACUUUUGUCCGGAAAGAAAUCCUUGGCUCUAAUACAGUCGGGGGAUGACGGUACCGGAAGAAUAAGCACCGGCUAACUACGUGCCAGCAGCCGCGGUAAUACGUAGAGUGCAAGCGUUAAUCGGAAUUACUGGGCGUAAAGCGUGCGCAGGCGGUUUGCUAAGACCGAUGUGAAAUCCCCGGGCUCAACCUGGGAACUGCAUUGGUGACUGGCAGGCUAGAGUAUGGCAGAGGGGGGUAGAAUUCCACGUGUAGCAGUGAAAUGCGUAGAGAUGUGGAGGAAUACCGAUGGCGAAGGCAGCCCCCUGGGCCAAUACUGACGCUCAUGCACGAAAGCGUGGGGAGCAAACAGGAUUAGAUACCCUGGUAGUCCACGCCCUAAACGAUGUCAACUAGUUGUUGGGGAUUCAUUUCCUUAGUAACGUAGCUAACGCGUGAAGUUGACCGCCUGGGGAGUACGGUCGCAAGAUUAAAACUCAAAUGAAUUGAC
rnacentral:rRNA from 1 species